rnacentral:lncRNA from 7 species
GAUGAACCACUCCUUCGGGGGGCUACUGUUUGGCGGAGGCCGAACACGUCCUUGUUCUAAGCUCACAAACCCUACUUCACUAUCAAUUGUAUUCACAGGCUCACUGGUGUAGGGACUCCGACCGAAGAGGCCUUCGAUCAGGCGGGCCCGACAUCGAGGGGCCGCACCGAGCGGCGGCUGAACGAUCAAGACUUUUCGCUACAUCCCAGAAGCGAAGUCCUCGUCACCCCUUGCGGCGCU